rfam:Ipomoea nil DNA, scaffold: scaffold3056, cultivar: Tokyo-kokei standard.
GUCGUUGUAGUAUAGUGGUUAGUAUCCCCGCCUGUCACGCGGGAGACCCGGGUUCGAUCCCCGGUAACGGCG